AUUGAACGCUGGCGGCAUGCCUUACACAUGCAAGUCGAACGGUAACAGGUCUUCGGAUGCUGACGAGUGGCGAACGGGUGAGUAAUACAUCGGAACGUGCCCUGACGUGGGGGAUAACGAGGCGAAAGCUUUGCUAAUACCGCAUACGAUCUAAGGAUGAAAGCAGGGGACCGCAAGGCCUUGUGCGUUUGGAGCGGCCGAUGGCAGAUUAGGUAGUUGGUGGGAUAAAAGCUUACCAAGCCGACGAUCUGUAGCUGGUCUGAGAGGACGACCAGCCACACUGGGACUGAGACACGGCCCAGACUCCUACGGGAGGCAGCAGUGGGGAAUUUUGGACAAUGGGCGAAAGCCUGAUCCAGCAAUGCCGCGUGCAGGAUGAAGGCCUUCGGGUUGUAAACUGCUUUUGUACGGAACGAAAAGGCUCUGGCUAAUACCUGGGGCACAUGACGGUACCGUAAGAAUAAGCACCGGCUAACUACGUG
rnacentral:rRNA from 1 species